ACUUCGAGCUUCUUUCGGACUUCGUCAAUGUCCGAGCUUCUCCAGUAGUAGGACUUCUACAGUAACCAGACUCCAUCCAAGUUUCUACGUGAUCGACCGCCUUUCGAAUUUCAUCCAGACUUCUACAGUAAGCGAAUUCCAUCCAAACUUCUAUUGCAAGCGAUCUCCAUCCGGACUUUCACGGCAAUCGGUCUCCAUCCGAACUUCUACAGUAAGCAGCCUCCUUCCGAACUCCUACA
rnacentral:lncRNA from 1 species